UAUAUAAUAAGUUAAUUUAAACUAUUAGAUUCAUAAUCUAACAAUAAAUGUAUUUUUUAUAUAA
rnacentral:tRNA from 1 species